UUUAUUCUCUAGGGGCGGGGUUUCCGGCGCAAUAUCAAUUCAGGCUCUGAGGUGUGGAGCUCUUCUCCCGGAGUCGGGCUUCCGGUUAGUGGCCAACGGUCAUUCGUUAACGGCCUUGUCUUCUGCUUUGGAGGCGGGUGAGAGGAGGAAGAUGUGGGAAAGACGUAGAAGGAUUCCCACGGAAACGGCGAAAACGUCCCUAAGAGGUUUUGUGUCUUGAUCUCUCGGGAUUACACCUCGGGGGCAGGAGCGGGGCAAGCUUCGAGGUUCUGUGGAGAAAAGGCGAUUGAAUGGAGUUCAGCAGCGCUGGGGUGACAGGGACCGUGCGUGACCGGCGCUGCCCUUCCUUGGACCCUGUUCAGGCACAUCCGGAGGAAAGUGACCAGUUCUGCAUCCCCCUGUCCCCAUUCCAGGAAGGAUAUCGAUAAGCUGCACAACGUCCAGAAGAGAGAAGCCAGAAUCGGGAGAUGACCAGAAACCAUGUCUGGCGAGGAAUGGUGGAAGGGACUGGGAAUAUUUAGUCUGGAAAAGACAAGUGUCGGCUAGUGGGAGUGUGGAGAGAUGAGAUCACCGUGCCCUAGUUUGUGAAGAUUCUUUUGGAGGGACCAAGAAUCUUCCUUUGACUCCAGAUCAGAAAUUUUCUGAUGGAGGUGUUGUAAAUACUCCUGAAAGGUGAUUACUUUACUGCUGUGUAUUGAGAAGCCUGUGAACCAUUAGAGUAAAUUAUAAAGACAGCCAAGAACUCAUGUGGGAAAGAACCUAAGGAAAUUCCUUUCCCAAAAAAGAAGUUUUAGGAAAGAUUGUCUACGUUGUUCUUCCACUACAACCACAAGAAUGUGAUAUAUACAAGUUAAAAAUUUCAUAUACUAUUUAUGCCCUUUUGGACAUCAGAUAAUGUGCACUGGAGAGGAACAACAUAAAUGUCAUGAAUACGGGAAAGUCUUUAGCUAGAUUUCAAACCUUAAAUUCAAACAGGAGAAAAACAUUUUACAAGCAGUGAGUGUGGGAAAAACCUAUGGAUUUAACUCACAUCUUAUACAUAGGCGAAUUAAUACCAGAGAAAAUCCUUAUAAAUGAAUAUGGAAAAACCUUCAGUAGGAGCAUAAGGCUUACUCAACUACAGAGAAUUCAUAGUAUGAGUAAUCCUAUUGCUGUUAUAAAUGUGGGAAAACACUUAUACUUAUUUGAAAGGCAAGCCUUACUCAACUCCAAGUAAUUAAUAAUGAAUAAACAUCAUUAUAAUGAAGGUGAGAAAGUCUUCAGUCAGAGGGCAAGCUUUAUUCAGCAUCAGAAAAUUUAUACUGUAUAGAAACCCUGUUAGUGUAAUGAAUAUGAGAAAGUAUUCAAUCAGCAAACUAUUCAAUUCCAGAGAAUUCAUGUCAGUGACAAACCCUAUCAGUUUAAUGUCGUAAAGCAUACAGUGCCAAUGCAAAUUUUGUGUGACUCCAGAGGAUUCAUACUAGAGGGAAAUUAAUACAGGGAAGUAUUCAGUUGGAGCGCAAAUGUGAUCCAACUCCAGAAAAUCUAGAGAAUACAUUAGAGAAACCUUAUAAUGUAAUGAAUGUGGGAAGCCUUCGGAGUGUAAACCUUGUCUGACUCCAGAGGAUUCACUUAGGAGAGAAACCAUAUCAUUGUAAUGAAUGUGAGUAGAACUAUGAUUUAAUCAAUUUCAGAGAAUUCUUACUGGAUAGAAAUCCUAUCAGUGCAAUGGAUGUGGAAAUCAUUUUGUUAGAGUGCAAAUUUUAUUCAACUCUGGAGAAUUCAGACUGGUGAGAAAUUUUAUCAGUGUAAUGAAUGUAGGAAAGCCUUCAGCUGAAAUGCAAAACCUUUCAACUCCAGGAAGAAACCCUUUCAGUGUAAUGAAUGCGGGAAGACUUUCAGUGAGAGAGCAAGCUUUAACUCCAGAGAAUUCAUAAUGGAGAGAAAUUUCAUAAUUGUAUGAAUGCGUGAGAGAGCACUCAGUUGGAGUGCAAACCUUAUUCAAUUCCAGAGACUUUAUACUGGGAAGAAACCCAGGUAGUGUAAUGAAUGUAGGAAAGUCUUCAGAAAAAAGCUUUAGCUUAAGAGAAUUCAUACUAGAGAAAAUCUCUUUUAAUAAGAAAUGUAGGAAUUCAUUAAAUAGAAUGGCAAAAUUUAGUCAACCAGAGACUUCACACUGGAGAGAAGCCCAGUCUGUAAUGAGUGUGGCAGAGUGUUCUAUAGGAAUGCAAACCUGAUGCAACACCAAAGAUUCAUACUGGAGAGAAAUUCUAUCAGUGCAAUGAAUGUGGAAAAGUCUUCAAUUAGAAAGUGAGAUUUAAUCUACUUAAAAAAAUUAUAUUGGAGAGAAAUCCUAUCAGUGUAAUGAAUGUGGGAAAAUCUCCAGUUAGAAAACUUUAUUCUACUUAAAACACUGGAGAAAAAUCCUAUCUUUGCAAUGAAUUUUGGAAAAGAUUCAGUGGGAGGGUAUACUAAAUGUACUCAAUUCCUGAAUUUGUACUGUCAGGAAACCCUAGCAUUUUAAUGUAUGUGAGGAAGACAGUCUUACUCAAUCUCAGAAUUUAUAAUGGGGAGAAAAAAACUUUCUUUGUAGUCUUCAGUUAAAGUAGAAAACUUAACUCGAUUCCAGAGAUCAAAACCCUUCCAAUGUAAGGAAUGGGGAAAGCCUUUAGUCAGAGCUCAAUUUUACUUGUCUGUCUUAUAAUUUAUACUGAAUAGGAAUGAUUACUGUUCAUUGUACCUGAUUUUGGUACUUUGAGAUUUUCAAAAAGAGAAUACUGGAUAGUAAUGACAAAAAGAAUAAGCUUUGAUAGCACCUGAAAGUGCAUUUUGCUUAACAUAAAGGAAAGCUUGAGGCCCAAAAUAGGAAAACUGGGAGCAAGAGGAAAGAAGGAAAGGGAAUUUAGGGGGAAAUAGGUCUCAAUAAAGAUUAGGUUCAGAAAACCAGAGAGGACCCUUUAUCCCAAACUACCCUCUGGCUGGGAGCUAUUUUACCACAAAUCAUGUCAAGGAUUUGUUUAAACCUCUUGCUGAGGCAGGACUUCCCCCACUGCUGCUGGGACUUAGGCUCAGAAGAAUUGUUACCACUGAUUGAAUGGGGACAUUGUCAUUGGAGUGGAUGGGAGAGAGAUGGAAAAAAUUUGAAAAAAAAAAAAA